CCACUACUUUAGAGCAAUUCAAAUGAGGUACAGCCCAUUUGAUAUAGGAUACAACCUUCACUAACGGGUAAAACCCCCACUCACACCUUAAAGUAGGCCUAAAAGCGCCUGUGCGUGCUAAUUCAAAAAUCCAUAUUAACCCCUUCAACUAUAUUGAGAACUUCUAUAACUAUAUAGAACCUUUCAUGCUAAAACUAGUAACAAGAGAAAAUCCUCUCCCUAAUGCAAACAUAAGCCAGCAAGAACCCAUCACUGGCAAUUAACAGCCCUAAACAAAAUAGCAACCUCACUAGAAAACCCUACUCCCCCAACUGUUAACCUAACACUAGAGCAUUUCAAGAAAGAUUAAAAGAAAAAGAAGGAACUCGGCAAACUCCAGUCCCGCCUGUUUACCAAAAACAUCGCCUCUUGCUCUCUAUAAGAGGUCUAACCUGCCCAGUGACUCUGUUCAACGGCCGCGGUAUCCUAACCGUGCGAAGGUAGCGUAAUCACUUGUUUUCUAAAUAAAGACCUGUAUGAAAGGUAUAACGAGGACUAAACUGUCUCCUUUUUCCAAUCAGUGAACCUAAUCUCCCCGUGAAGAAGCGGGGAUUUCUAUAUAAGACGAGAAGACCCUAUGGAGCUUAAAACAUCAUAACACCUGCCACCCACCUUUAAUUACCCAAGUAUUCCUUCAACCGGCACCCUGAUUCUAUGUUUUUGGUUGGGGUGACCGCGGAGAAAACCUCAUCCUCCGCAAUGAAAGGGGAUUUUCCCCUAAACAAUAAGUUACAACUUUAUGUAUCAACAAAUUGACAUCCAUUGACCCAAUAAAUUGAUUAAUGAACCAAGUUACCCUAGGGAUAACAGCGCAAUCCACUUUAAGAGCCCCUAUCGACAAGUGGGCUUACGACCUCGAUGUUGGAUCGGGAUAUCCUAGUGGUGCAGCCGCUACUAAGGGUUCGUUUGUUCAACGAUUAAAAUCCCACGUGAUCUGAGUUCAGACCGGAGCAAUCCAGGUCAGUUUCUAUCUAUAAUAGCGCUAAUUUCAGUACGAAAGGACCAAAAUAGCAUGGCCAAUGCCCCCGCAAGCCGUACUUAAUCAUUUAAGCCCAAAACUCAAAAAAUAACUAAC
rnacentral:rRNA from 1 species